UGAAAGACAUGGGUAAUGAGU
rnacentral:miRNA from 1 species